AUUGAACGCUGGCGGCAGGCCUAACACAUGCAAGUCGAAUGGUAACAGGAAACAGCUUGCUGUUUCGCUGACGAGUGGCGGACGGGUGAGUAAUGUCUGGGAAACUGCCUGAUGGAGGGGGAUAACUACUGGAAACGGUAGCUAAUACCGCAUAACGUCGCAAGACCAAAGAGGGGGACCUUCGGGCCUCUUGCCAUCAGAUGUGCCCAGAUGGGAUUAGCUAGUAGGUGGGGUAACGGCUCACCUAGGCGACGAUCCCUAGCUGGUCUGAGAGGAUGACCAGCCCCACUGGAACUGAGACACGGUCCAGACUCCUACGGGAGGCAGCAGUGGGGAAUAUUGCACAAUGGGAGCAAGCCUGAUGCAGCAAUGCCGCGUGUAUGAAGAAGGCCUUCGGGUUGUAAAGUACUUUCAGCGGGGAGGAAGGGAGUAAAGUUAAUACCUUUGCUCAUUGACGUUACCCGCAGAAGAAGCACCGGCUAACUCCGUG
rnacentral:rRNA from 1 species